GAAAUAAUGACAUUCUGAGUGUGACGACACAUUAAAAGACCUUUAUUCAAAAUCCACAAAAUUUUACCCAAUAAGAAUCCAUCAAAUGGUCUUCACUUCUUAAAAUCCUAUAUCAUAUGUGAGUUUUGUUAGAUAAUUCAUGCAACCAAAACCAUCAUCUUUCUAGUGCUGCUAAAAAUACUUCAGCUCCUUUGAAUUUUUAUGACAUAACUAUAAUUUGAAUGCUACGUUUUUACAAUGAUAAAGCAAAUAAUGAUGCUCU
rnacentral:misc_RNA from 1 species